UACGUAGGUGGCAAGCGUUGUCCGGAUUUAUUGGGUUUAAAGGGUGCGUAGGCGGUCCUUUAAGUCAGUGCUGAAGUACUCCAGCUUAACUGGGGGGGUGGCAUUGAUACUGGGGGACUUGAAUGAAGUCGAGGUAGGCGGAAUUGACGGUGUGGCGGUGAAAUGCUUAGUUAUCGUCAAGAACACCGAUAGUGAAGACAGCUUACUAGGCUUAUAUUGACGCUGAGGCACGAAAGUGUGGGGAUCAAACAGG
rnacentral:rRNA from 1 species